rnacentral:lncRNA from 1 species
AAGAAAUUAUGGGGAUCAACCUUGGUCUUUAUUUGAACCAACCUGUCGAAGUUAUCCUUGAAAUACUCCACUCCAUAAACUCUCCCUUCAGCGUAGCUGUUUUUACCAUUGUGGUUAAUCCCCAAGUCAAGGUCCUUAUAAUUGUAGAAAGCCUCUCUAGGGUUCUUGGAGACAAAAGGAGUCAUGAACUUGUGAAGUUUUCUUGUCAAGUUUAUGUAGUGAUCUGCUACCUCUUUCCCUGGCUUAUUCCAAUUCGCUUGGUAUUGGAUCUUCCAUAGGUUCCCAGCUCGAUGAGGGAAAGGAGAUGCUGUUGAAGGAAUCUCAGCCAUUCUUCCGCCAUAAGGAUUGAAUUGAAAUAGUGUAUCCUCCAACUCAAUCAUCUUCUUCCAAAUCCCUUCAAAACCCUCUAUGGAAAUCGGUUUCUUCAC